rnacentral:misc_RNA from 1 species
AAAAAGGGGAACAAUUGAAGGUGAGGUCAUUAAAAGGUAUAUCAGGAGGCCAUUCCUGCAAUGCUAGGAGUUGGUUGUGGACAUACCAUGGAGUGUUUUGGAGGACAAAGUGGGCAUCUGCUGCUUUCUCAAAAGUAAGAAUGAAAGUGUUAUUCUCUUGGGGGGCAAGUUGGAAUGGUCUUUUGGGACCUUAAGAUUUGGAUAGCGAUGCUGAGAUGGUACUGAGGCUAAAGGAUUUUUGAGAAACAAGUUUUCCAACUAAUAUUCUUUUCUGCUGCGUGGUCUCACUUUCUUGAUUGAAAGUGAGUUACAGUUCUUUUUCUUGGCAGCUAAGAGAAGGGCCUUAGUAAUGAGGUUUGAAACAUUCUUUUCAUAAUCUGACAUGGUUAGUUGCAAAGAAUGAUGAAGAGCAGCAAGAAAAUUAGUACAGAGAACAAGGUUAUUGAUGGUAAGUGAAUGCAAAGGUUGGUUCAAUUAGACAUAGGUAGGUAACAAGGCACCAGAGAAGGCUACAGAGAGCAGUCUAGGUGAAGAACGUUAAUAGUUUCAGCAAAUGGUAAAAUCAAUAAAUAAAAAAGAUCUCAUACAAUUAAAAUUAUCGAAGGGUCCAUAACUUUUCUCUGUAUUUUUAUUGAGAGAGUUCUCUCAGUUUAGUCCUUCUUCCUUAGGACGUGGCCCUCGUCAGUGCCUUCAUUGGUCUUCCCCUACCCCUUCUGGCAGGGGAGGACUUCUCUUCUCCUGAUCCAGUGUGGGUUCCGUCCUUGCCCCGCUACUAGGCUGUAAAUUUCUUGUUUUGGUUUGUAUUGCAGCUGGAUUGAAAUUGUAGAGGUCUUUAAGCUGCGUUGUUUUCUUUCAUGGUUCUGUUCUGUUUUUCUAGUGGGUGUGUUGCAGGUCUCUGAACAAGCAUCAGUGCGUUCUUUUGGUGAACUAUGGCGCGUGAAGGCUCCUAGAGAAGAAGGUAUCUAGCCGGAGUCCACAGUUUGACCCGUAAUGCGCGAGUGAGUCGUCAAUGAGCUAUGCCACCUCAUCCUUCGCUGGAUCUAUAGACGACUCCAAGUAGAUCCAGACAAUGACAAUGGUGAAAAAGCCUCCUUUGCUCUUCGAUUGGUUUUCUACGACAUAUUUUGACAAUUAUAAUUGGGAGAUCUUUUGUAUCAUCCAAUCUUCCUUGCUCUGCAUGUCUUCUCCAAUGACCGAUAAACAUUAGAUGGAUUGAGCGGCAUUCCUUGCUACUUUGUGUAUUAAUUAGGUCAUGGUUCAGAGUUGUUGACCCAUUACAGCUAGAGUUUUAGUUCUGUUGUUAGCCCUGUCUUUGGGUGGGCUAAACUGAACUUUUUUUUUUUUUU